AACGAACGCUGGCGGCAUGCCUAACACAUGCAAGUCGAACGAAGCCUUCGGGCUUAGUGGCGCACGGGUGCGUAACGCGUGGGAAUCUGCCCUUGGGUUCGGAAUAACAGUUAGAAAUGACUGCUAAUACCGGAUGAUGUCUUCGGACCAAAGAUUUAUCGCCCAAGGAUGAGCCCGCGUAGGAUUAGGUAGUUGGUGGGGUAAUGGCCCACCAAGCCGACGAUCCUUAGCUGGUCCGAGAGGAUGAUCAGCCACACUGGGACUGAGACACGGCCCAGACUCCUACGGGAGGCAGCAGUGGGGAAUAUUGGACAAUGGGCGAAAGCCUGAUCCAGCAAUGCCGCGUGAGUGAUGAAGGCCUUAGGGUUGUAAAGCUCUUUACCAGGGAUGAUAAUGACAGUUCCUGGAGAAUAAGCUCCGGCUAACUCCGUGCCAGCCGCCGCUGUAACAC
rnacentral:rRNA from 1 species